UAAACUAUAGCUUAGUGGUAAAGCAAUUGCAUGUUGUGUACAAGUCCCUGAGUUCUCUUCUUAGUAAUUUAA
rnacentral:tRNA from 1 species